rnacentral:rRNA from 1 species
GACGAACGCUGGCGGCGCGCUUAACACAUGCAAGUCGAGCGAAGCGGCGGACGUGUGAGUAACACGUGAGUAACCUGCCUUAGACAUUGGGAUAGCCUCGGGAAACCGGGCUUAAUACCAAAUGGUCUAAGAUGGACUCGCGUCCCAUUAGCACGUUGGGAGGGAACGGCCCACCAAGGCGACGAUGGGUAGCCGGCCUGAGAGGGUGAAUGGCGACAUUGGAGCUGAGAAACGGUCCAAACUCUGCGGGAGGCAGCAGUGGGGAAUAUUGCAAAAUGGAGGGAACUAUGAUGGAGCGAGGCGGGGUGAACGAAGAAGGCUUUCGAGUCGUAAAGUUCUGUUAUAUGGGAAGCGGUACCAUAAGAAAAAGCCCCGGCUAACUACGUGCCAGCAGCCGCGGUAAUAC